UAGAGUUUGAUCCUGGCUCAAACGAACGCUGGCGGCGUGGAUAAGACAUGCAAGUCGAACGCUGAUUUCUGGGUAGCAAUAUUUUGAAGUCGGAGUGGCGCAAGGGUGCGUACCACGUGGAUCAUCUGCCGUGAAGUCUGGGAUAACUCGCUGAAAGGCGACCUAAUACCGGAUGUGAAUGUAAAUUCAAAGUUGGGGACCGCAAGGCCUGACGCUUCACGGUGAGUCCGCGGCCUACCAGCUAGUUGGUGAGGUAAUGGCUCACCAAGGCUAAAACUGGUAGCUGGUCUGAGAGGACCGCCAGCCUGACUGGAACUGAGACACGGUCCAGACACCUACGGGUGGCAGCAGUCGAGAAUUUUUCUCAAUGGGCGAAAGCCUGAAGGAGCGACGCCGCGUGGGGGAUGAAUGGCUUCGGCCCGUAAACCCCUGUCAUUUGCGAACAAAUUGGUUCACUUAAUACCUGAACCAUUGAUAGUAGCGGAAGAGGAAGGGACGGCUAACUCUGUGCCAGCAGCCGCGGUAAUACAGAGGUCCCAAGCGUUGUUCGGAUUCACUGGGCGUAAAGGGUGCGUAGGCGGUCGGGUAAGUCUGAUGUGAAAUCCCGCAGCUUAACUGCGGAACUGCAUUGGAUACUAUCCGGCUCGAGGAAUGGAGGGGAGACUGGAAUACUUGGUGUAGCAGUGAAAUGCGCAGAUAUCAAGUGGAACACCAGUGGCGACGCGAGUCCCUAGUACAUUUUCUUGACGCUGAGGCACGAAAGCCAGGGUAGCAAACGGGAUUAGAUACCCCGGUAGUCCUGGCCUAAACGUGCGCAUUUGCUGUGAGCGGGA
rnacentral:rRNA from 1 species